rnacentral:rRNA from 1 species
CAAUAGCGUAUAUUAAAGUUGUUGCAGUUAAAAAGCUCGUAGUUGGACUUCUGAUCGAGACAUCAGGUCGGGUCCGAGAGGAUCAUGUACUUUGAUUUUGUUUUGAUCAUCCUUGGGGAGAGCAUUUCUGGCAUUCAGUUGUCGGGAUUGGGAUCCUCAUCGUUUACUGUGAAAAAAUUAGAGUGUUCAAAGCAGGCCUCGGCCUCUGAAUACAUUAGCAUGGAAUAAUAAGAUAGGACUUUGGUGGUCUAUUUUGUUGGUUUGCACGCCAAAGUAAUGAUUAAUAGGGAUAGUUGGGGGUAUUCGUAUUCAAUUGUCAGAGGUGAAAUUCUUGGAUUUAUGGAAGACGAACUACUGCGAAAGCAUUUACCAAGGAUGUUUUCAUUAA